rnacentral:rRNA from 1 species
AACGGUGAACCGCUUUCGGGCGGGGAUCAGUGGCGAACGGGUGAGUAACACGUGGUAACCUGCCCUCCACUCUGGGAUAACUCCGGGAAACCGGGGCUAAUACCGGAUACGACCUUCCCCGGCAUCGGGGAGGGUGGAAAGUUUUUCGGUGGAGGAUGGACCCGCGGCCUAUCAGCUUGUUGGUGGGGUAACGGCCUACCAAGGCUUUGACGGGUAGCCGGCCUGAGAGGGCGACCGGCCACACUGGGACUGAGACACGGCCCAGACUCCUACGGGAGGCAGCAGUGGGGAAUAUUGCACAAUGGGCGAAAGCCUGAUGCAGCGACGCCGCGUGAGGGAUGACGGCCUUCGGGUUGUAAACCUCUUUCAGCAGGGACGAAGCGCAAGUGACUGUACCUGCAGAAGAAGC